AGUGAACGCUGGCGGUAGGCCUAACACAUGCAAGUCGAACGGCAGCACAGUAAGAGCUUGCUCUUACGGGUGGCGAGUGGCGGACGGGUGAGGAAUACAUCGGAAUCUACUUUUUCGUGGGGGAUAACGUAGGGAAACUUACGCUAAUACCGCAUACGACCUACGGGUGAAAGCAGGGGAUCUUCGGACCUUGCGCGAUUGAAUGAGCCGAUGUCGGAUUAGCUAGUUGGCGGGGUAAAGGCCCACCAAGGCGACGAUCCGUAGCUGGUCUGAGAGGAUGAUCAGCCACACUGGAACUGAGACACGGUCCAGACUCCUACGGGAGGCAGCAGUGGGGAAUAUUGGACAAUGGGCGCAAGCCUGAUCCAGCCAUACCGCGUGAGUGAAGAAGGCCUUCGGGUUGUAAAGCCCUUUUGUUGGGAAAGAACAGCAGCAGGUUAAUCCCCCGCUGUUCUGACGGUACCCAAAGAAUAAGCACCGGCUAACUUCGUG
rnacentral:rRNA from 1 species